UUUAUUUGGAGCUCAUCAUUUUGGGAACUGGAUGUGGUUGUGAUAUAAGCUGACUCUACUCUUGUGGUGAUCCAUGGUCAAGGCUGCAGUGGAGCUGACUUAUAAAGAUGAAGCAAACAUGGACAAAGAUGUGCUAAGUAUAAGCACAAGCCAAUGCAUUGCUGUCUUCCGUGAAGGAAUUUUGUUUUUGGUAGGCUUGAGGUGACAUGUUAUCAUGACCAUCAUCAUCAUUGCCCCCUGUGAGUUGAAAACUCAGGUUUGUCAGUCUCUG
rnacentral:lncRNA from 12 species